UUUGGCUUAUUUUUGCAAAGCAGCUAUUUUCAUUUCACUCUUUCUUUUCUCUUUUUCUCAUUAACUGGGAAGUGGAGAUAAACGGACCCAAACAGAAGCCCCAUGCUGAGGAUGGCAGAGCUGCUCCGUCAGACUAGGACCAUUCACCUCAUAAGACAGAAAUGAACAAUACUUGCAGGUGGUCUUCCGGUCGUCACAGAAUCUGGGGCAUGGGUCAGGAUACCCCAAGGUCAUUUCUCCACCAUGCUGAAGCCCUUCUGACUGCUCAUUAUGGCGGUCUCUAACUUUCCCAGCUUGGCCUCAGCCUUCCCUAGGCCUGCCUUGAUCGCCACCGGGUGGCUCCUCCUGUUUCUAACCAUGUCGAGGGAUGCCUACACCCUCUGAAGCCCUAGUCCCUAAACACCGGCUCCAACCUUUUGUUUGGCUUCUGCCAGGCCCAUCCCAGGCCUCAAAUGGCCAUAGGGUCCAGUGAGUACCCAGAGAUUGGGGGGUCCAACCCACUUCAAAUUGAUGAAGAAACAGAAGCCCGUGGAGCGAAUGGGCUGGUCUAGUUACGAACCCACAUCUCCUGAGUUUUGUACUGUGGUCUUCCUCCCAUGCAGGACGGCUGCCUGCCUUUAGAAAAGGCAUCUUCUGCUGGAUGAAUUAUUAAGGGGUGAACUGCUUGAUUUAAAAAAAAAGUGAAAUGAGUAAAAUAUA